ACUCCUACGGGAGGCAGCAGUAGGGAAUUUUCCACAAUGGACGAAAGUCUGAUGGAGCAACGCCGCGUGUGCGAAGAAGGCCUUCGGGUUGUAAAGCACUGUUGUAAGGGAAGAAUAGGUAUGACAGGAAAUGGUCAUAUUGUGACGGUACCUUACCAGAAAGCCACGGCUAACUACGUGCCAGCAGCCGCGGUAAUACA
rnacentral:rRNA from 1 species